rnacentral:rRNA from 1 species
CGGCGGACGGGCGAGUAACGCGUGGGUAACCUGCCUCAUACAGGGGGAUAACAGUUAGAAAUGACUGCUAAUACCGCAUAAGACCACAGCACCGCAUGGUGCGGGGGUAAAAACUCCGGUGGUAUGAGAUGGACCCGCGUCUGAUUAGCUAGUUGGUAAGGUAACGGCUUACCAAGGCGACGAUCAGUAGCCGACCUGAGAGGGUGACCGGCCACAUUGGGACUGAGACACGGCCCAA